rnacentral:rRNA from 1 species
UACGGAGGGUGCAAGCGUUAUCCGGAUUCACUGGGUUUAAAGGGUGCGUAGGUGGGAAAGUAAGUCAGUGGUGAAAUCUCCGUGCUUAACACGGAAACUGCCAUUGAUGCUAUUUUUCUUGAAUUUUCUGGGGGUCAGCGGAAUAUGUCAUGUAGCGGUGAAAUGCUUAGAUAUGACAUAGAACACCAAUUGCGAAGGCAGCUGACUACAGGGAUAUUGACACUGAGGCACGAAAGCGUGGGGAUCAAACAGG